rnacentral:rRNA from 1 species
UACGGAGGGGACUAGCGUUGUUCGGAAUUACUGGGCGUAAAGCGCACGUAGGCGGAUUUGUAAGUCAGGGGGUGAAAAUCCCGGGGCUCAACCUCGGAACUGCCUUUGAUACUGCAAAUCUCGAGUCCGGAAGAGGUGAGUGGAAUUCCUAGUGUAGAGGUGAAAUUCGUAGAUAUUAGGAAGAACACCAGUGGCGAAGGCGGCUCACUGGUCCGGUACUGACGCUGAGGUGCGAAAGCGUGGGGAGCAAACAGG